rnacentral:rRNA from 1 species
CCUACGGGAGGCAGCAGUGAGGAAUAUUGGUCAAUGGGCGGGAGCCUGAACCAGCCAAGUCGCGUGAGGGAAGACGGUCCUAUGGAUUGUAAACCUCUUUAGGCGGGGAGCAAUGCCUAGCACGUGUGCCCGGAGGGAGAGUACCCGCAGACUAAGCAUCGGCUAACUCCGUGCCAGCAGCCGCGGUAAUACGGAGGAUGCGAGCGUUAUCCGGAUUUAUUGGGUGUAAAGGGUGCGUAGGCGGAUUUUUAAGUCAGCGGUAAAAUGUCCGGGCUCAACCCGGGCCGGCCGUUGAAACUGGGGAGCUUGAGUGGGCGAGAAGUAGGCGGAAUGCGUGGUGUAGCGGUGAAAUGCAUAGAUAUCACGCAGAACUCCGAUUGCGAAGGCAGCAUACCGGAGCCCGACUGACGCUGAGGCACGAAAGCGUGGGGAUCGAACAGGAUUAGAUACCCCUGUAGUC